UACGUAGGGUGCAAGCGUUAAUCGGAAUUACUGGGCGUAAAGCGUGCGCAGGCGGCUUUGCAAGACAGAUGUGAAAUCCCCGGGCUCAACCUGGGAACUGCAUUUGUGACUGCAUGGCUAGAGUACGGUAGAGGGGGAUGGAAUUCCGCGUGUAGCAGUGAAAUGCGUAGAGAUGCGGAGGAACACCGAUGGCGAAGGCAGCCCCCUGGGCUAACACUGACGCUGAGGCACGAAAGCGUGGGGAGCGAACGGG
rnacentral:rRNA from 1 species